UGGGGAAUAUUGCACAAUGGGCGAAAGCCUGAUGCAGCAACGCCGCGUGAACGAUGAAGGUCUUCGGAUCGUAAAGUUCUGUCUUCAGGGACGAUAAUGACGGUACCUGAGGAGGAAGCCACGGCUAACUACGUGCCAGCAGCCGCGGUAAUACGUAGGUGGCAAGCGUUGUCCGGAUUUACUGGGCGUAAAGGGAGCGUAGGCGGACUUUUAAGUGGGAUGUGAAAUACUCAGGCUCAACCUGAGGGCUGCAUUUCAAACUGGAAGUCUAGAGUGCAGGAGAGGAGAGUGGAAUUCCUAGUGUAGCGGUGAAAUGCGUAGAGAUUAGGAAGAACACCAGUGGCGAAGGCGACUCUCUGGACUGUAACUGACGCUGAGGCUCGAAAGCGUGGGGAGCAAACA
rnacentral:rRNA from 1 species